GACGAACGCUGGCGGCGUGCUUAACACAUGCAAGUCGAGCGGUAAGGCCCUUUCGGGGGUACACGAGCGGCGAACGGGUGAGUAACACGUGGGUGACCUGCCCUCAGCUCUGGGAUAAGCCUGGGAAACUGGGUCUAAUACUGGAUAUGACUCCACGGUGCAUGUCGUGGGGUGGAAAGCCUUGUGCGGCUGAGGAUGGGCCCGCGGCCUAUCAGCUUGUUGGUGGGG
rnacentral:rRNA from 1 species